AUUGAACGCUGGCGGCAGGCCUAACACAUGCAAGUCGAACGAGUGGCGGACGGGUGAGUAAUGUCUGGGAAACUGCCUGAUGGAGGGUGAUAACUACUGGAAACGGUAGCUAAUACCGCAUACCAUCAGAUGUGCCCAGAUGGGAUUAGCUUGUGGGUGGGGUAACGGCUCACCAAGGCGACGAUCCCUAGCUGGUCUGAGAGGAUGACCAGCCACCCUGGAACUGAGAAAAGGUCCAGACUCCUACGGGAUGCAGCAGUGGGUAAUAUUGCACAAUGGGCGCAAGCCUGAUGCAGCCAGGCCGCGUGUAUGAAGAAGGCCUUCGGGUGGUAAAGUACUUUAAUCGGUGAGGCGUUAUCCGCAGAAGAAGCACCGGCUAACUCCGUGCCAGCAGGGGCGGUAAUUC
rnacentral:rRNA from 1 species